CCUACGGGAGGCAGCAGUGGGGAAUCUUGCACAAUGGGGGAAACCCUGAUGCAGCGACGCCGCGUGAGUGAAGAAGUAUUUCGGUAUGUAAAGCUCUAUCAGCAGGGAAGAAAAUGACGGUACCUGAUUAAGAAGCCCCGGCUAACUACGUGCCAGCAGCCGCGGGAAUACGUAGGGGGCAAGCGUUAUCCGGAUUUACUGGGUGUAAAGGGAGCGUAGACGGCAGCACAAGUCUGGAGUGAAAUGCCGGGGGUUAACCCCGGAACUGCUUUGGAAACUGGGCAGCUAGAGUGCAGGAGAGGUAAGUGGAAUUCCUAGUGUAGCGGUGAAAUGCGUAGAUAGUAGGAGGAACACCAGUGGCGAAGGCGGCUUACUGGACUGUAACUGACGUUGAGGCUCGAAAGCGUGGGGAGCAAACAGGAUUAGAUACCCGUGUAGUC
rnacentral:rRNA from 1 species